CAGGGUCUGACGACGCCCAAACCAACUGUGAAUAACUCCCUAAAUACUUGCUUCGGCGGGCCGCUCGCUGGGGGAGCCCGGGCCGCCGUAAUGGUGGUGGCUCGCCGAGGCAAAACUCUCCAAAUUCUUUGAAAUUACUCUUCUGAGAAAAUACUUUCUAAAUGAAAAAAUCA
rnacentral:misc_RNA from 1 species